GACGAACGCUGGCGGCGUGCUUAACACAUGCAAGUCGAACGAUGAAGCUGGAGCUUGCUCCGGUGGAUUAGUGGCGAACGGGUGAGUAACACGUGAGCAAUCUGCCCUUCACUCUGGGAUAACUGCGGGAAACUGUAGCUAAUACCGGAUACGAGACCUUGGGGCAUCCCAGGGUCUGGAAAGAAUUUCGGUGAAGGAUGAGCUCGCGGCCUAUCAGCUAGUUGGUGAGGUAAUGGCUCACCAAGGCGACGACGGGUAGCCGGCCUGAGAGGGUGACAGGCCACACUGGGACUGAGACACGGCCCAGACUCCUGCGGGAGGCAGCAGUGGGGAAUAUUGCACAAUGGGCGAAAGCCUGAUGCAGCAACGCGGCGUGAGGGAUGAAGGCCUUCGGGUUGUAAACCUCUUUUAGUAGGGAAGAAGCGCAAGUGACGGUACCUACAGAAAAAGCACCGGCUAACUACGUGCCAGCCGCCGCAGUAA
rnacentral:rRNA from 1 species